rfam:Stegodyphus mimosarum contig80482, whole genome shotgun sequence.
GCCUUCGUGGUGUAAUGGUCAGCACGCUCGGCGCGUAUUCGAGAGGACUGUGGUUCGAAUCCCGACGAGGGCA